rnacentral:lncRNA from 1 species
CACUCCCAUCAACGACUGGCUCAUUGACAUCGGAUCACUGAUGACCGGUGAGCCGUUGCUCAAAUCCAUCGGGUCGGACGAAGAAAAAGUGUGGUCAGUACGGUGGUCGUCUCUCUUUCAGCAGGAUUUUCUUAGCCCACUGUCUUGUCGAUGAAGAACCACUUCUUCAGCGUUUUCUUGUCACUGCAGGUGUGGAGGAAGUUCAUCAAAAGCAGAAUACCUGUGAACUGAGCAGAGAAGGUAGGAUAGCGUUAGGCAAAGGGCGUCUGCUCCAUGAGAAAAGAGAAGGUAAUUCGGGAUGAUUUGUAGUACCUUGUCAUGCUGAGAGAGAUGACACAUCUAUAUCACAAGACUGGAUUGGCACAUAGGAAAAGCCAUACAAAGCCAGCUCCGUUUAACUCCAAUGUUCAGAAUGAUGCAAAGGCCGGGGUUUCAACCUCCUUCUCGAAAAAACUCCGAUAUUCAGAAGGUGUCACUGCACGAAUUAACCAACAAGAGGAUCUUCUCAGUUACCCGGAAAGAUCAAAUAGCAGACUAGUUACUUCCACGACGUCGACAACCGCACAUGGAUCAAGUGUCAAGCCAUGUUAAAUCUGUGUCGUUAUCGUGAUAGAGGAAGAAAACAACAUCCAGAAAAAGCAGAAGGGAAAGGGAAAAUGUCAAAGUAAAAACUUGCAGAUUGCUGGGUUGGCCUUAACUAUGGUUAAGGUACGGUAAACUAAUUGCCAAAAGAAAUAUGAUACUUAACCUUGUACUAUUAACAUUUUCUGAAAGAAUAUAAACAUCUGCAAUGAUAUGCCGGCCCAAUCACGGAUGUCUG